UGGGGAAUUUUGGACAAUGGGCGAAAGCCUGAUCCAGCAAUGCCGCGUGUGUGAAGAAGGCCUUCGGGUUGUAAAGCACUUUUGUCCGGAAAGAAAUCCUUGGCUCUAAUACAGUCGGGGGAUGACGGUACCGGAAGAAUAAGCACCGGCUAACUACGUGCCAGCAGCCGCGGUAAUACGUAGGGUGCAAGCGUUAAUCGGAAUUACUGGGCGUAAAGCGUGCGCAGGCGGUUUGCUAAGACCGAUGUGAAAUCCCCGGGCUCAACCUGGGAACUGCAUUGGUGACUGGCAGGCUAGAGUAUGGCAGAGGGGGGUAGAAUUCCACGUGUAGCAGCGAAAAUGCGUAGAGAUGUGGAGGAAUACCGAUGGCGAAGGCAGCCCCCUGGGCCAAUACUGACGCUCAUGCACGAAAGCGUGGGGAGCAAACAGGAUUAGAUACCCUGGUAGUCCACGCCCUAAACGAUGUCAACUAGUUGUUGGGGAUUCAUUUCCUUAGUAACGUAGCUAACGCGUGAAGUUGACCGCCUGGGGAGUACGGUCGCAAGAUUAAAACUCAAAUGAAUUGAC
rnacentral:rRNA from 1 species